rnacentral:pre_miRNA from 1 species
UCAUCAAAAUGAUGAUGAUGGUGAUGUUGAUGAUGAUGAUGAUCAUCAUCAUCAUCAUCAUCAUCAUUAUCAUCAUCU